rnacentral:rRNA from 1 species
CCUACGGGGGGCAGCAGUGGGGAAUAUUGCGCAAUGGGCGAAAGCCUGACGCAGCGACGCCGCGUGAGGGAUGAAGGUCUUCGGAUCGUAAACCUCUGUCAGCAGGGAAGAACGGUCACUGUGCUAAUCAGCAGUGAAUUGACGGUACCUGCAAAGGAAGCACCGGCUAACUCCGUGCCCGCCGCCGCGGUAAUACGGAGGGUGCGAGCGUUAAUCGGAAUUACUGGGCGUAAAGCGCUGGUAGUCGGUAUGUCAAGUCAAGGGUGAAAUCCCCGCGCUCAACGUGGGAACUGCCUUUGAAACGGGCAAACUGGGGGGUAUGAGAGGAUGGUGGAAUUCCAGGUGUGGGAGUGAAAUCCGUAGAUAUCUGGAGGAACAUCAGUGGCGAAGGCGACUAUCUGGCACAUAACUGACGCUGAGGAGCGAAAGCGUGGGUAGCAAACAGGAUUAGAUACCUAGUAGUC